rnacentral:rRNA from 1 species
UCCAGACUCCUACGGGAGGCAGCAGUGGGGAAUAUUGCACAAUGGGCGAAAGCCUGAUGCAGCAACGCCGCGUGAAGGAAGAAGGGUUUCGGCUCGUAAACUUCUAUCAACAGGGACGAAAGAAAUGACGGUACCUGAGUAAGAAGCACCAGCUAAAUACGUGCCAGCAGCCGCGGUAAUACGUAUGGUGCAAGCGUUAUCCGGAUUUACUGGGUGUAAAGGGAGCGCAGGCGGCACGGCAAGCCUGAUGUGAAAGCCCGCGGCCCAACCGCGGGACUGCCCUUGGAACUGCAUGGCUGGAGUGCGGGAGGGGCAGGCGGAAUUCCUGGUGUAGCGGUGAAAUGCGUAGAUAUCAGGAGGAACACCGGCGGCGAAGGCGGCCUGCUGGACCGCGACUGACGUUGAGGCUCGAAAGCGUGGGGAGCGAACAGGAUUAGAUACCCCCGUA